GUGUCAGCAGCCGCGGUAAUACGGAGGGUGCAAGCGUUAUCCGGAUUCACUGGGUUUAAAGGGUGCGUAGGUGGGUUGAUAAGUCAGUGGUGAAAUCCCCGAGCUUAACUUGGGAACUGCCAUUGAUACUAUUGAUCUUGAAUACCGUGGAGGUCAGCGGAAUAUGUCAUGUAGCGGUGAAAUGCUUAGAUAUGACAUAGAACACCAAUUGCGAAGGCAGCUGGCUACGCGAAUAUUGACACUGAUGCACGAAAGCGUGGGGAUCAAACAGGAUUAGAAACCCCGGUAGUCC
rnacentral:rRNA from 1 species